ACCAUAACUCCAUCAGUGUAGAAUGAUUUACCCAGAAAAGACAUAUGUCACAACAAAGACGGUCUGCAGCUCAGCAAUCAUGCCUCUGAACGGUUUCCCACGUGAAGUGUUUGAAGAAGCGGUCGACGUGUGACUGAUCUCCAAGGCCCACCGCCUGGUCUUCUUUAAGGAUGAAGCAGAGGCAGAAGGAAAGGUGAUGCUGAUAAGGGAAUCUGAACCAAAUGUUGUCACGUUCUAGAGAUGAUUAGAUGCCCUUGCUGUGACUUAUUACACAACCUGAGACUGGAAAGGGAAAACCUGGGAUGAAAUGUAGCCGCAAGGGGGGGAAGAUGCUUUUUCAGCAAAGAGCAAAAGCCAAGAGAGAAACUGUUAUCGAUGCCUAAGAUGGGGUUGGGCAUCAGAGCACUCUGUGCUGUGGUAUGGAUGGGAUGCAGCAGUAAAUCUCCCCCUUGACUCAGACCUACCGUGAUCUAAAUUUAUAUCUGCACAAGCUGCUGAUAAUGUAAAAAAGCUUGGCUUUAAUAAAGGACAGGAUGAUACAUUUAAAAGGCAGGUACGUGUUGUUUCAGAUUUUGCUAUUUCCUUGUGUACAUUAAUGAAUGAAGCUUUGAAUCCAAGUAUAUACGAUAGAAUGAAUAGACUUAAAUUUGAAAUCCUCUCUAAAUUUCGAGUAAUUGUUUCUAUAUUUGCUUAAAGCAAAACUAUUGCUACCUGUAUUUCAGGUGUGUAAUGCCCAACUUAAAGAAAGUGCAGCCUUGCUCCUAAAUCUGCAUUUUAUUUUAAAAAGACAGUUACCUGUAGCCAUAUGCCUAAUCUUGGGAUUAGAUACAUUUUCUAUGUGCUUUGAUAUCUACAAUGGAAUAUUUAGCUUAACAGGAAAGACAAAGGAGUCUGGAACUCUGGAGGAGCUCUUUGGUCAAAACACUCUAAUUCACAUCUGUAAAACACCUUUCUUAAGGCUAUCAGAAAAAAAUAAAAAAAAAUAA